rnacentral:rRNA from 1 species
UAUUAGCUAGUUGGUGAGGUAACGGCUCACCAAGGCUGCGAUAGGUAGCCGGCCUGAGAGGGUGAACGGCCACACUGGAACUGAGACACGGUCCAGACUCCUACGGGAGGCAGCAGUGGGGAAUAUUGCACAAUGGAGGAAACUCUGAUGCAGCGACGCCGCGUGAAUGAUGAAGGCCUUCGGGUCGUAAAGCUCUGUCCUUGGGGAAGAAACAAAUGACGGUACCCUUGGAGGAAGCCCCGGCUAACUACGUGCCAGCAGCCGCGGUAAUACGUAGGGGGCGAGCGUUAUCCGGAAUUAUUGGGCGUAAAGAGUGCGUAGGUGGCCAUGUAAGCGCGGGGUGAAAGGCAAUAGCUUAACUAUUGUAAGCCUUGCGAACUGUAUGGCUUGAGUGCAGGAGAGGAAAGUGGAAUUCCUAGUGUAGCGGUGAAAUGCGUAGAUAUUAGGAGGAACACCAGUGGCGAAGGCGACUUUCUGGACUGUAACUGACACUGAGGCACGAAAGCGUGGGGAGCAAACAGGAUUAGAUACCCUGGUAGUCCACGCCGUAAACGAUGAGCACUAGGUGUCGGGGUCGCAAGACUUCGGUGCCGCAGUUAACGCAUUAAGUGCUCCGCCUGGGGAGUACGCACGCAAGUGUGAAACUCAAAGGAAUUGACGGGACCCGCACAAGCAGCGGAGCAUGUGGUUUAAUUCGAAGCAACGCGAAGACCUUACCAUGGCCUUGACAUCCCUCUGACAGUCCCUUCACCCGGGAACAUUCUUACGGACAGAGGAGACAGGUGGUGCAUGCUUGUUCGUCA